rnacentral:lncRNA from 1 species
UUUUUUUUUUUCCUUAUGUUUCUUUCUUUUUUAGUCUUUUUCCCUUCUUUUUAUGGCCUGCCUCCUUUUUAUGUUUCUUUGUGAUUGCUUUUUCAAGUUUGUUUUAAAAGUUCACAGCGUCCUUUCUUUUCUUUUAGACCAGGAGACCGUGAUCUCACCCUGACGAGUUGGACAACCUUUGGUGUCCUGAGCAGCAAAGAGCUUUGGCUUACGUUGGAGCAACCAGACCAGUGGAGACACAUAAAGUGCCUCCAUAGUAGUUUCUGCAGCCUUUCUUUCCACCCCGGUGGUGAAGCAGAUGGAAUAAGUGUUGAAGUUCCAAGUUCCUAUUUCUGCAGAAAGGCAAGAAACUCUGUGCUUCCAGGAAGUCCUGGAAUCGUCAAGAAGCUAAUGAGUGUUACUCGUGGCAUGAGGACUUUGCAUGUUCAUCUUCUCAGAGGCAAAGCCCAGGGACUCAAAAGACAGGACACUUCUCUGAUUGGUCCUCCUAUCUCAGAAAAGGUCGGAAAGACAGGGGCAAAGAGUCAUUCCUGUUUGCAGCAUCUGGUGGGAACAGUCUCAGGCAGACAGAGGAGAAGUCCGCCUGCUGCAGCCUGGCGAAGGGGAUGGCCCUCCCAUAGCAUCUCCCAGGAAGAGGGUGGAGGUGGAGGACGGGCCUCCUUGCCUUGAUCUCUUCUGGGCAUGUGCAGCCAAUGUCCACCCGCUGGGACCUGCCCUGUGGUGUCCAAAAGGUUUCUUGGGGCCUGGCACCAGAGUGGGUGCCCCCCUUCCUCCCUGGGGAGGCUCCCUCCACCAGUGUCGGCUGGAGUUGGUGGGUGCCUACUUCGGCCCCCUCGGGUCCCUCUUAUGAGACGGCUCAGAGGUGAGUGUGGUACUGUUCCUUUCACAGUUCCCACUGGGACCAGGCUUUCCCAGACACAAUGGCAGAUUUCUUUUCUUUUUUUUUUUUUUUU